rnacentral:rRNA from 1 species
UACAGAGGUCUCAAGCGUUGUUCGGAUUAAUUGGGCGUAAAGGGUGCGUAGGCGGCGCGGUAAGUCGGGUGUGAAAUCUCGGGGCUUAACUCCGAAACUGCAUUCGAUACUGCCGUGCUUGAGGACUGGAGAGGAGACUGGAAUUUACGGUGUAGCGGUGAAAUGCGUAGAUAUCUGCAGGAACACCCGUGGCGAAAGCGGCGCGCUGGACCACUACUGACGCUGAGAAACGAAAGCUAGGGGAGCAAACAGG